rnacentral:lncRNA from 1 species
AUGAGGGAAAUUGAUCUCAGCAAAACCUGGCUACACUUGCAGACACUUGACGGCAAACAAAACAGACAGAACUUGUUAGGGGUAAUCUCUCGGCAAGUCUUUCUGAAGAAAGUUCCAGGCAGCGACCCUGCUCACUCCAUCCUGGGAAGUCUCUGGGGUCCCCUGGGGUCCCCUAGAGUCCCCAGUAUCACGCUUUUUCGCUGCUGGAGCAUUUGUUUUAAGAGAUUCUGCGUGCUGCCCAGAAGUGAGCUGGACCUUCAUUCGUGUGUAUGUUCAUUCAUUCCCACAUUUAACAGGUAUGUAUUGAGUGCCCAAAGCCCGCUGCGUCCUGGUCUAGGUGCUUUUCAUACCUCAGGGAGCAAAGAACAAGAACCCUGCCCUCUGCCACUUGGCAUCAUGGCCAUCCUAGUGGGUGGUGAGGAUGAUAAGAGAGGCAAGACAUUUCAGGCAAGAAGAAGAGCACAGGCUAGAGGCAAGAGUCAGAAGACAGCCUGGCAGGUCCCAGGAAAGAACUGCAAACUCUUCAAAAGUGCUGGAAGGUAACCAACAAGGUGAGGGGCAGCUGGGUGUCGGGAGGCGGGGUGGUCUCAUCAAAAGGCUCUGGGUGCUCCUGGGCUGGCCAUGGCUCUUACAUCUAAUGUUCAAAUAUUUGUUGAAAUAAAGUAAAAAAGCUACGACA